rnacentral:rRNA from 1 species
AUUGAACGCUGGCGGCAGGCCUAACACAUGCAAGUCGAACGGCAGCACAGAAGAGCUUGCUCUUUGGGUGGCGAGUGGCGGACGGGUGAGUAAUGUCCGGGAAACUGCCCGAUGGAGGGGGAUAACUACUGGAAACGGUAGCUAAUACCGCAUAACGUCGCAAGACCAAAGUGGGGGACCUUCGGGCCUCACACCAUCGGAUGUGCCCAGAUGGGAUUAGCUAGUAGGUGGGGUAAUGGCUCACCUAGGCGACGAUCCCUAGCUGGUCUGAGAGUAUGACCAGCCAAACUGGAACUGAGACACGGUCCAGACUCCUACGGGAGGCAGCAGUGGGGAAUAUUGCACAAUGGGCGCAAGCCUGAUGCAGCCAUGCCGCGUGUAUGAAGAAGGCCUUCGGGUUGUAAAGUACUUUCAGCGGGGAGGAAGGCGGUGAGGUUAAUAACCUUGCCGAUUGACGUUACCCGCAGAAGAAGCACCGGCUAACUCCGUGCCAGCAGCCGCCGUAA